GAUGAACGCUAGCUACAGGCUUAACACAUGCAAGUCGAGGGACCGGCGCACGGGUGAGUAACACGUAUCCAACCUGCCCUUUACUCGGGGAUAGCCUUUCGAAAGAAAGAUUAAUACCCGAUAUAAAGGAUGGGGAUGCGGUCGAUUAUGUUGUUGGUUAGGGAAAGGCUCACCAAGCCUUCGAUGGAUAGGGGUUCUGGUAGGAAGGUCCCCCACAUUGGAACUGAGACCCGGGCCAAGCUCCUACGUGAUGCAGCAGUGAGGAAUAUUGGUCUAUGGGCGCUAGCCUUAACCAGCCAAGUAGCGUGAAGGAUGAAGGCUUAUGGGUCGUAAACUUCUUUUAUAUAAGAAUAUGCAUUAUAUGAAUAAGGAUCGGCUAACUCCGUGCCAGCAGCCGCGGUAAUAC
rnacentral:rRNA from 1 species